rnacentral:lncRNA from 10 species
AUAUACUCCUGCUUCACAGCACAGGGCUAUUUCCAGGCACUGUUAUUACUUUUAACAUAAGGUUCCUGAGCACUGCCUUAUUUUCAGAAAGCAACGGAAGCUUAGGAAGAAUAGAGGCCUUCGAUGAAUUGGACGAUGUCCACCCACAUGGUGAGGGCAGAUCUUUCUUACUCCACCCACCGAUGCAGAUGUCAAUCUCUUCUGGAAGCACUUUCAAGGGCAUACCCAGAGCUAAAGCUUGACCAGCAUUAGUUGGUAAAUAUGUGAUUAGGAACUCUUUAUGAACCAGAAAAGAGAAAUCUUGCACUGAUUGGAAUAUGGCAGCCACUCACCAUCUCCCCUGUCUGCUCUCACUCAGUUUAUGUGACCCAAUGGGAAUGGAGAAUCUCAGGCAUAAAACCAACUGCUUCGUGGGUUACUCUGGAAAAUUCUAAACUGAAGCUUUUUGAGAAAGGCGACAUUACCUCAGAACUUCCACAUGUAGCUACUGUGGAGUUUCUGUUUAUGUGAAUGGAUAUUUUCACCAGAUAUUGGAAACAUGCUGAAGCUGGAUUCCAGUGCAAUAAAGGCAACUCAUUUAGCCAUUGGCCUGUGAUACUAUGAGAAAUACAGUUAAAUUAGACGAAUGCUCCACCAGGAAUUGUGGCCAAAAUAAAUGAUCAUUUUUUAAAAAAGAAAAAGAUAAAGACACAACAGAUUGUCAUUUUUUUCUUCUUGUCGAUGUCCUUGAAAAACAGACUUGAAGUCUCAAAUGAACACCUUAAAUUCCAAAUAACCAUUGAGGCAUUGGGGAAGACUUGUCUCCUUGUUGAUUCUAUGGAUGGAUAGAUGGAUGAUGAGUACUACAAAUAUUUUUAUCUCCUAUGUAUAAAUUAAAGGAAUAGUAACUGAGAAGGGCUUCAGAAAGCUUAUUGGAGGAUAGGCAUUCAGAGAAAAAACUGAAGGAUGAGUAAUUACAGGUGAAGUUGGAGGAGAGGCUAUUUUUGAUUGAAAGAAAAGUAAAGAGAAAGGCAUAGACAGAACUAAAGGAAAUGCAAUUUUACCUCUCAUACGAAGAGCAAUGAUUGUCCCCUCACUUUCAUAUUUCAAUAGAAGAAAAAUCUUUUUCCAAAUAAAAAUCAGAAAACUAAAAAAAUUAUUGAAAUAUUUCUAAUAAAUAACAUUUUCCUAUUUAUUACUUUAUUGCUAUAUUUUCUUAUAAAAUAUAUUUAAAUUAGAUACACAUAAAUAAUAUAUAAUCUAUCUUUAAAUUAGCAAAAUUUUAUACAAUACAAAUCACAAUUUUUAUAUUAUAUAUUCUUACCAUUCUUGUUCAUUUCUUGUCCAUAUAAAUUCACAUUAAUAUAAUUAUUAUUAUAGUGCAGAUACUACUUAAUAUUCCUUUUAACAUUAUUUGGUAAAAAAAAAGUUUUAGCAUUAUAUUUUUAAUUAUUAUAUAUAAUUAUUCAUAGCAUUCCAUUGAAUAGAUAAACUAUUAUUUAGUUUAACCAUUCUAAUGUUUCAAUAUUUUUGCUAUUAUACAUAAUGCUGCAAAGAAUAUCUUACUAGUGUGGCCAUUUUACUGCAAUGUUUUUUACCUUAGAUUUUAUUCUGUGAAUAACAUUACUAAAUGAAAGGAAUUUAUCUUUCUUAUGGUUUUUAAUAUGUAUUGCCAAUUGCAAUCACAAAACAAUCACUAGUUGCACACCAAUCAGCGGCAUAUUAGUGUAUUAAUUUCACCAAGUCCUGCCUUCAUUGGGUGCUACCAUGUUUUGGACUUUUUAACUGUUGAAUAAUUUAUCAGGUAUAUAAAUAAUCCAAAGAAUUUAAACUUUAAUGAACUGUUCCUCUACUGCUAAUCUAGCCCACAUAGGGAUUGUGAAGAUAGCUCAUUUAAUAAAUACUUCUUGACCACUGUCUUUGUUCUCAUUCCAUGCAGCAAAAGUAGCAGAGAAAAAGAAGCACAAGAGGAGAGAGGUGAUGAGGAUUCUGAACACAGAAGGCCUUCUAGGCCCUGUGUAUUAGGAUUUUGCCUUUAAUUAUGAGUGCCAUGGGGAGCCACUGUAAGGGAAACAAUUUCAUGUGAUCCUUGUCCUUUGGGAGCUUUUAAAAUCUUAAUGACGAGAUUAGAAUCAGAUGUUGUUCCCCAUCUCCCCAAAAUCCUGCCUCAACUCCAUCCUCAUCAUUGUGCAGAGAUCAGAAUACCAUGACCAGUCAUUGGAAAUACUGUUCCUCUCUCAGUAAGAAUGGAAGAAGGGAGGGCAUGGAGGGCCUCCUGUAUCUGGAGCAUUGUUAGGUGCUACAUAUCCAAUCUAAUUUUGUCCAACAACAGUCCUGUAAGGCAGGUCCCAUUUCUACAGAGGAAGAAACUGAGGCUCAAGGUGCUCACUUUGGGAAGACCUUCUGUUUGUCUUCCUUACAAAGAGAGAAAACAUUAGAUGCCUGAGUGCGCUCAAGGAGCUUUGACAGAAUCUGAAUCAUUUUUACUCUGUCUUUCAUGUUUAAAUUUCCAACAUACCUUUGUCGUUUUCAUCCACUGGAAACUGAGGCAUCCCAUGAUUCACAAAAUUGGCCCAUUGUUUAAACUGUCACCCUUCUUUCCUUAAUUCCACUCAUGAGCAUUUGGACCCAACCAAAGGAGGUUGGUUGGAUCCCACAACAGCAAGUCCACUGAACCGGGAAUAUGCAAUGGAAAUUGAAAUCUAUAAUGUGUUCUAUGAUUUUGAACAUGUCUACUCUCUCCCUGCAUCUCAAUCCCUCAAAUGUGCAGUGGGGGGAUGGAGAGAUAAGGCAGAGGAUCUCUGGGGAUCAUUCUUGCUUUAAUGAUCUAUGACAAAAUUUUCCCAGUGUACUGCACAGCCAGAAAGAGCCAAGGCUGAGAGCUAUUUCUCCCCAGAAAUGUGAUUCCACAGUCUUGGUUUCCUGGAACAACUGAAGAGUGUGGUAAUAGAAUCCAUGAAGAGAAACUUUAUGUGGCUAAUAUUCCAAAGCUUUCUAAGUGCAGUAAUAAACAGAGCACAUCUUGGUGACACAGAAAUUAUGAGGCAGAGACCAUAAUAAUAAUUCAUGUCUGCUUCUAUUCACUAUUGACAAGAUGUGCUUCCACUCCCAAGACACCAGAGCAGCAGAAAAAUAAGUAAUUCCCUGAGUUGCCACCACACUAUUUUGCUUUAUGCUAGUUUUUCUUCCUUUCUUUUCUGUCACCCACAAAAGUGAAACCCAGUCAUCUACAGAAGCUGCCUUUUGUCUAGGAGUAAGUGGUGGUUAUUAUCUGCAUCAUAUGAAGCUAGGCAUCAUGGUUUCCAUGCUGGAAAGCAAAGCUCCCCUAUGUUAGGCAUCUUUGGUUUACAAUAACAUACACUCAAUAACUGAGAAGAAAUUUUGAAUAGAUCACACUUGCAAAAUAUUUCCCAGACUGAAAAUUUCACGGAGACUGGUGAUCACGUAGGCCAAGUGUACUUUAUUUCCCCCGUCUCUCCAUUCCUCAGCCCCUGAAAUAAUUCCUAGGAGAUUUUUAGCUAACUCCGGCUGAGUCCACCAACAGAUGUGAAACUUAUUACCUUACUGUUUUGUGGCCCUUCCUAUUCUAUUUUCUUGCAACAGCUCCAAUUAUUAAAGUGAAAUACGACAUCUUAGCCCUUUUGGAGCAAGGCAGGAAGCAUUUAUUCUUUGAUUGUGUAACUGUUCUUCAAGAAUGUGUAAUGAGCCUCACACCUCUUCUAAGUCUUCUUUUUUCCAUGUUAAACAUUCACAAUUUCUUCCCCAUUCCUGGUUGGUAUAGGUCUCAGAUCUUGCUCUCAUAUUGUUUAGGCUUCCAAAGUGGUGCCACUUGACCAACACAAACUUGGAAAUAAGACAUCCUAAGCUUGAAACAACACAUCCAAUGUGGUCUAUCUUAGAGAAAAUGAUUGAAAUUGUCACCUGCCUUAAUCGGUACAUUUCAACUCUAUUACAAUAAUUUUGCCUAAGAAUGUUUUGAUUUUUCCAGCAACUGUGGCACACACUUGGUUUAUGUUUAGUCCUGUGAUCAACAUAUGAGCUUUGCUCUUCCUCCAAGGCACAAGCAGGAAUGUAGUGAGUAGCAAAGUGCUCUUGGUCACUCAAAUGUAUUGACAAAACAGGACCUCUUUAUGAAAUUAUAAAGUCAUCCCAGAUUGUAUUUUGGACAUUUCUUUUAUUUCUCAUGUUCUCAUACUUUCUGUAGUCUCCUCUGCCCCCAACAUACAUGCCUGACUUCUACUCAAAAGUAGUUCUACUCUGCUGUAGUAGUUCAGAGCCUGGCUUGUAAAGGCAGCCUGCUCAGGGUCAUAUUCCAGCUCUGACAUUUGCCUGCCCUGUAGGUUUCAGAAACUCAAUGUCUUUUGCUUGUUUAAGAUUUUUUACGUUAUGUAUAAAGUAAUAAUACUAUCUCCCUCAUUAUGUUGUUAUGAGAAUUUAAUGAUUUCAUAUAUCUUAGGCACUUAGGACAGUGCCUGGCACAUACUGAGUGCUAGCUGAUACAAUAAGCCUAGCAUGGUAUUUGGGACAAUCAGGUCUGAGGCUCGGGGUACCAGGGAUAUAGUCAUUACCCAGGUCCAGUAAUAUAUGUCACUUCUUUUUUUUCAGACCUUCAAUUUCUUUAGCUAUAAAAUAGGGAAAUCAAACAGUAAGAAAUAACAACAAUUCUUUCCAGCUCUGUCAUUUUUAAAACUGUAAUUGUCUGCAAGUCUUUGAUCUUCCAGCUCCUGACAUGGGUGGAGCAAGCAUCCCCAGCUUGGAUAAUAGGGGGAACAAGCUGAUGAUAUGACUCUUUUUGUAGACAUUGCUACUAGUGUUCAAACAAAUAAAGAUGUAAAGGCAAAAUGUUUCAUAAUUCUGGCAGGCAAAUUUGGAAAGACUUCUGAGGUCAGCGCCGCCUUAUCAGAGCCCCUUACAUCACACUACAUAGAGAGGCUGCCCACUCCCCAAAUUGCUACAAUUGGUAAUGUGGUAGAAGUAUUAAGAAAAGCCUGGGCAGUCAGAGAUGAGAGAUCAUGUCAUUUUGAGGGCUGAUAUAAAGAAAGGAAUCCAUUUUUCAUGGAAAUGCUUGGCUUUGCAUGAGCCUUUGAAAACCCACACAGUAAAUGCAGUGGAAAAGGCAAUGCACCACAGCAUAAGGCCAGAGGUCUGGGGAUACCUCAACUACAAAACCAACACAGCACUUAAUUGUAGCCAUAUGUCUGAAUCAGCCAGAAAUGCAACUUCUUCAUCAGUCCAAUGGGAUACUAAUGCUCUCGCUUGACUUUCUCACAGAACUGCAAGAGAUCAUGAACGUAAAGGCAUUUUGAAAGUUCAUUUCAACUGCAAUAUGGUAGUGACAGUAAGGUUCCUGACCUUCCAAGGCCAGAAUCUGUGUCCUGUAACCUCCACCACAAUUUAGUUCCUGAAACUACACACAAAAACACAGCCACUCUAGAAGAUGAAAGUGCAAAAUUACUUUCUUCCCCUACUCAAUGCCAUUAAAUGGCUUCCUUGACAUCUACAGCUCUUUGCAGUAAUGUUCACUAUGACUAAAUGUGUGGCUAAUAAUACCUUUUAUGAUCUGACCAUUUUAUCGCCUUAGCCUCAUUUUUCUCAUGCUUUGCUUUUAAGAUUUCAUGUCUUUGCUAUUGUGAAUAGUGCUGCAACAAACCUGCACAUGUACCCUUGAACUUAAAAUAAAAGUUAAAAAAAAAAUGUUCCUGAAGGAAAAAAAAAAAGUCUAAGAUUUUGUAGACUGAUCUUCCAGUUUCUUGAACAUACACAUUUCCUCUCACUUUAUGCUGCCACUUCUGCCUGGCUAGCUCCUACUCAUCUUCAGGUCUCAGCCUUUUACCUUUUAUUUGUUAUGUUAUUUUAUUUUUUUGAGACUGAGUCUUGCUCUUGUCACCCAGGCUGGAGUGCAGUGGCGCAAUCUCAGCUCACUGCAACCUCAACCUCCAGAGUUCAAGUGAUUCUCCUGCCUCAGCCUCCCAAAUAGCUAGAAUUACAAGUGCC